rnacentral:rRNA from 1 species
GCUAUCUGCUGACGAGCGGCGGACGGGUGAGUAACGCGUAGGAAUCUGCCCGGUAGCGGGGGAUAGCCCAGAGAAAUUUGGAUUAAUACCGCAUACGCCCUACGGGGGAAAGGAGGGGACUCUUCGGAGCCUUCCACUAUCGGAUGAGCCUGCGUGAGAUUAGCUAGUUGGCGGGGUAAAGGCCCACCAAGGCGACGAUCUCUAGCUGGUCUGAGAGGAUGAUCAGCCACACCGGAACUGAGACACGGUCCGGACUCCUACGGGAGGCAGCAGUGGGGAAUAUUGCACAAUGGGCGAAAGCCUGAUGCAGCCAUGCCGCGUGUGUGAAGAAGGCCUUAGGGUUGUAAAGCACUUUCAGCGAGGAGGAAAGCUUGUGAGUUAAUACCUCUCAAGUGUGACGUUACUCGCAGAAGAAGCACCGGCUAACUCCGUGCCAGCAGCCGCGGUAAUACGGAGGGUGCAAGCGUUAAUCGGAAUUACUGGGCGUAAAGCGCGCGUAGGCGGCUUGUU